rnacentral:rRNA from 1 species
GCAAGUCGAGCGGAAACGAUGAUAGCUUGCUAUCAGGCGUCGAGCGGCGGACGGGUGAGUAACGCGUAGGAAUCUACCCAGUAGUUGGGGAUAGCCCGGAGAAAUCCGGAUUAAUACCGAAUAAUCUCUACGGAGGUAAGGGGGCUUCGGCUCUCGCUACAGGAUGAGCCUGCGUUGGAGUAGCUAGUUGGUGAGGUAAAGGAGCACAAAGGCGACGAUCCAGAGCUGGUCUGAGAGGAUGAUC